GACGAACGCUGGCGGCGUGCUUAACACAUGCAAGUCGAACGGUGAAAGCGGAGCUUGCUCCGCUGGAUCAGUGGCGAACGGGUGAGUAACACGUGGGCAACCUGCCCCUCACUUCGGGAUAACUCCGGGAAACCGGGGCUAAUACCGGAUAUGACCUCCUUGGGCAUCCUUGGAGGUGGAAAGUUUUUCGGUGAGGGAUGGGCCCGCGGCCUAUCAGCUUGUUGGUGAGGUAGUGGCUCACCAAGGCGACGACGGGUAGCCGGCCUGAGAGGGCGACCGGCCACACUGGGACUGAGACACGGCCCAGACUCCUACGGGAGGCAGCAGUGGGGAAUAUUGCGCAAUGGGCGAAAGCCUGACGCAGCAACGCCGCGUGCGGGAUGACGGCCUUCGGGUUGUAAACCGCUUUCAGCAGGGAAGAAGCCGCAAGGUGACGGUACCUGCAGAAGAAGCACCGGCUAACUACGUGCCAGCCGCCGCAGUAA
rnacentral:rRNA from 1 species